rnacentral:tRNA from 2 species
AAAUUAAUUGAUAUUGUUUGAAAUUGAAUAUUAUUUGACUGUUAAUCAUUAGGUCACAAGUUCGAGUCUUGUCCGGGGAGCCA